rnacentral:rRNA from 1 species
UACGUAGGCAGCGAGCGUUGUUCGGAGUUACUGGGCGUAAAGAGCUCGUAGGCGGCUUGUCACGUCUGCUGUGAAAUCCCGGGGCUCAACCCCGGGCGUGCAGUGGAUACGGGCUGGCUAGAGGCAGGCAGGGGAGAACGGAAUUCCCGGUGUAGCGGUGAAAUGCGCAGAUAUCGGGAGGAACACCGGUGGCGAAGGCGGUUCUCUGGGCCUGUACUGACGCUGGAGGAGCGAAAGCGUGGGGAGCGAACAGGG